rnacentral:Y_RNA from 1 species
GGCUGGUCCGAGUGCAGUGGUGUUUACAACUAAUUGAUCACAACCAGUUACAGAUUUCUUUGUUCCUUCUCCACUCACUCCCACUGCUUCACUUGACUGGCCUUAA